rnacentral:lncRNA from 1 species
UUCGUAUUUGCUUUCUUUCUGUAGCUUCUUUCUCAUUGCGUUCUGUAUCUUUCAUUUUGUCACGAUCACGCAAGCACACACACACACACACAUACCCAACAACACCUACAUAGACCCUUGCACCUGCUGACCUUUCAACCCUUAACCUCUCACCUUUCAAUGCUAACCUCUGACGCCUAACCUCUAACCUCUGACCCCCACCAGCGGCCCCUGACCUGGUAUUAGAUGCCCAGUUGGUCCAGGAGACAGCCUACCUGGAGGACCGCCCCUUGCACCUCCUGACCUGUGCCAAUGAGGAGAACUGUCUGUCGUCCUCUGCUGCCCGGAUGAGCUGGCCUUACGGACACAGACGCCUGCUACGAUUCUCCUCACGCAUCAUGAACAUGGGCCGGGCCGACUUCAGACCUAGAGCGACCAGGGAGUCCUGGACCUGGCACCAGUGUCACAGGCAACUACCCAGCAUUGAGGUGUUCACCCAUUAUGGACCUUCUGACCCUGAAUGGAACUAAAGAUCGCUGAGGGUCACAAAGCCAGCUUCUGUCUGGAGGACACCUACUGCCCCGAAGGUAUGUCACCUACACCUACUGUCCGACGGUAUGUCACCUUACCUACUGUCCUGACGCUAUAGUCACCUUACCUACUGUCUGACGGUAUGUCACCUUACCUACUGUCCUGACGGUAUGUCACCUUACCUACUGUCCCGACGGUAUGUCACCUUACCUACUGUGCUGACGCUAUGUCACCUUACCUACUGUCCUGACGCAUCACCUUACCUACUGUCCGAUGGUUAUCAUCUUACCAUACUGUGUCUGAUGGUACUGUCAACUUUACCCUACUGUCCUGACGCUUGUCACCUUACCUACUGUCCUGACGCUAUGUCACCUUACCUACUGUCCUGUGCCGGCAACGCACCUGUACCUACUGUCCUGACAGUUGUCACCUUACCUACUGUCCUGACGCUAUGUCACCUUACCUACUGUCCUGACGGGCACUUCACCUUACCUACUGCUCUGACGGUACGUCACCUGUGUCACUUAUUUUACCUGGCCUAAUUGACCAGUCCCUGGCUUUCCCCAUUCCAACCCUAAACAGUCCACGAGUCCCCCCAUGCACUUUACACCCAUCACUCACCUGUCACUAGACUCUACCUGUCACUAGAUCUCUCACCUGCACUAGAUCUUACCUGUCACUAGAUCUCUCACUGUCACUAGAUCUCUCACCUGUCACUAGAUCUCCACUUGUCAGCAGAUCUCCAACCUGUCACUACGAUCUCUCACCUGUCACUCAUCUUCACCGUCACGAGAUCUCUCACCUGUCACUAGGAUCUCUCACCUGUCACUAGAUCUCUCACCUGUCACGCGACGACUCUCCUGUCACUAUGAUCUCUCACCUGUCACAGAUCUCUCACCUGUCACUAGAUCUCUCACCUGUCAAUAGAUCUCUCACCUGUCAUAGAUAUCUCACCGUCAUAGACUCUCACCUGUCAAUAGAUCUCUCACUGUCAAUAGAUCUCUCACCUGCGUCACUAGAUCUCUCACCUGUCAAUAGACUUGAAUUGGAGCUUAUCCAAAUCUUAACUUGAACUUGAUCAGUCACCGUCACUACACUACUGUGUUUCCAUGGCAACUGCAGUAUCCAAAGCGACUCCUGCUACAACAUGGGAGGCAGGGUUAUCCAGGUAGGUUGCUGGGAUACGUAUCGCCAUGACAUCGCUGUCAGGGAUCGACAUCACAGACAUCAGCCCGGGGAGUACUCUUUCAGGUUAGAAAACACGCACACACCACACAACACACACACACAACACACACACACACAAACACACACACACG